CUCUACAAGUGUGACAUCAGCGGUCAUGGAGAGUCUCCAUCCAGCUGGAUCACUGUCACAGACAAACACACCACCACACCUCCACCUACAUCCACACCUCCACCUACAUCAGCCUCUAUUACUACAAGCACUCCUGCUUAUUCUUCGUUCCUUCUCUGUGUGUUAUUUCCUGUUGGAGCAGUCUGUGUUUUGGUUCUACUGGUGUUACUGGUUCUGAGACAACAUUUUCAGAGGAAACUUGAAGGCUGUGAUCCAGCUACGGUCUAUUUAUCAGUGAGAGAAGACAACAUCAAUUGUCGACCAACAGACAUCAGACCAAACAGACGCAGAGAGUUUCCGUCUGACCAAAAUGGCAUCUACCCAUGAAGUAAUCCACCAGUCCAACCACUGGAAUCCUGUUGCUGGUCCACACAGGCGCUCAGACUAGAUUUUUAUAUAUUAUGUUUGAUUUUCUCAUUAAACAUACUCAUAUAACACAUAUUAUAACUAAUAUUUGAAUGUAAUGUAAUGCAGUGUAUGGAAAACACUCAAUAACUGGCAGGACAGUGCUGCCCUCCCCACAGCAAUGAUCUCUGCAGAUCUCUGUAAGAAACUUUGGUCUCACUUGUUCUUCUUGUGCGGUUCUCUGGGUUUCACAAAUAUUAUUGAAGAAAAAUGUGAGUCAUUGUGGCUGAUUAAGAUCUGAAUAAAACCAUAACCACUGAUUAAAAGCAGCAUGAGCAUCACUGGAAACUUUUAAAACCUAAAGAGUUUUAAAAGAUAAAGAAAAAAAUCUCAGUUCAUAUGGUCCAACCAAGCUUUAAAAGCUAAAAACACAGUUAAGUUAAAAACAAUAAGAAUUGAAAAACUAAACGGCAUAGAAUAAAGACAUGUAGGGUAGGGUGAACAAGGGGGCCUUCAACUUAGCUUUAAAAACCUCCACAGAGCAUGCCUGCCUAAUAUGUUGAGGGAUGUUGUUCCACAAAAAUGAGGCACGAAAAGAAAAAGCACUUUAUCCAAUAGUCUUUUUUCUGACUUUAGAAACACUGUGUUGAAUAAAAGUUAUGCUUAUGAUGAGAUUUGAGAAAUAAAUUGCUUUGUCUGUAGGGGCCACCGUAGGGUCCAUUAAAUCAGGCUAAAUACGUACACACACUCAGGUUUAUGUCAGUGUAUCAUCAAAAGUACAAAAUAUAAACGUGCAUUUCUGAACCAAACUCUGUCCUGAAUGUUCUCACAUUAAAGAAUGACUCAAACAAAUAUGGAUCUUUAUACGUUUGUUUGAUUAUAACUAGUGUAAAGGGUGACAUAUAUUUGUGAAACUUCAUGUGUUAUUCGCCUUCAUCUAUGUGGCCAAACUUAUUCAGACCCUUUAACUGAACAGAUCAGACUGGAGGCUGCAGACGGAGCUGUAAUCAGGGGUGUGUACUGAGCCCUCUCCUGUACUCACUCUACACCUACGACUGCACGGCCACUAACAACUCCAACAUCAUUGUGAAGUUUGCGGACGACACUACAGUGGUGGGUCUUAUCACCAACGG